UGGUGCAAAUAUGUCAAAGCGUUGCAGAGAUACAGCCUCAAAUGCAUUUUGGCACCUUUCCAGCAAAUUCGUUGAUGCGUUAAAUGACAACCGUUUCGUAUAUCGACACGAAAUCCAUAACUUUUUGCCAGCAUGGUCUGACGAUGAUUCACGUCAAAUUUGGUGAAAAUCGGACUAACGGUCUAGGAGGAGUUCGAAAAAGUAGGUUUUCAACAUUAAGCAAAAUGGCGGACAGGAAGUAAAGCCAAUUUUCACAUUAUUGGUAUCAAUGCUCUCGGCAUGACCCACAGAAUAAAGCGAGACCAUUUUAAUUUUAAUAGUCUAAUUUAUUCAAAAGUUAUUAGCAUUUAUGUGAUAUUUCAUUAUAACUAUUGGCCACAAGGUGGCGCUGCCACCAAACUUUUUGAGUACCUUCAGGGCAUGGAGCCGAAUAUUUUUGUAAUUAUUUGCGAAACGAUACGAUGCUGCGUUCAAAAAAUACAGCAUUUUGAAACAUAAUUCAAAAUGGCCGACGCCUAAAAUGGCCGACACAGGAAAAUUGGAUAUCAUUCGACUCGACAUGACUCACUGAAUCUAAAGAGACCAGUUGUGUGAUUUUUGGCCAAACCAUUCAGUAGUUAUAAGCCAAAAUAUGCAUUUUUCAUAUCUCCUGACCACUAGGUGGCGCUGUGUCGAAACACAGCAGGUAGUCUCAGUUCAUGCUUGUUAUAACACACGCCAAGUUUGGUCUCAAUAUGACAAACCGUUGCCGGGAUAUAGCCUCACGUGCAUGUUUGCGUGCUUUUCGUCAAAUUUGUUUACGUGUCAUUCGACAACGGUUGGACGAAUCAACUUGAAUUCCAUAACUUUUUGCCAGCAUGGUCUGAAGAUGAUCUGAGCCAAUUUUCGUGGCAAUCGGACUAACCGUCUAGGACGAGUUCGAAAAAGUAGGUUUUUCGAAUAAUUGAAAAUAGCGAAAAAACUAAACCUUGCGAUUUUUGAAUUUUGGGGUUCAUUCGACUUGGCCUGAGCCAAGGAUUCAGAGGAAAAAAGAAUUUCCAUUUUCUGGCUUACGGUUCAAAAGUUAUUAGCAUACAAACAUUGAAAGUUUGGACAAGUGGUGGCGCUAGAGAGUAGGAGUUAGAGGCUUCAAAUUUGCUAUAGUUAAUGUUGGGACUGUCCUCUAUCAGUGUGCCAAAUUAUACAACUUUCCCGCAAACGGUUCUAUGGGCUGCCAUAGACUUGCGGCGGAAGAAGAAGAAGAAGAAGAAUAAAUAUAGCUGCAAGCAGCAAUUACGGGGCCAAGCACUCCAACGGCAAAUGUAGGAGCUAAGCAUCGCAUGAAGCAUCACACCAAAUUCAUUAAUGAGCAAUAACAGCAAUUUUGGAAUUAUUGUAAUUGAAAUGGCAAAAAAAAAUCAUAAUACCACCUCUAGUAGCAUGAUUACUUGGCUUAUCAAGCUUGACCAAUAGGUGGCACUGUUAUAAAAUCAAUUUGGUGUACUCUGUGUGACUUUUCAAUGACACACACAAAGUUUGGUGUCAAUAUGCCAAAGCAUUCCAGGGAUACAGCCUCAAGUGUCAUUUUCUCAUUGUGCCUCAAAUUCGUCGAUGUGGUAUGCGAAAACGGUUUUGUCUAUCGACUCAAAAGCCAUAACUUUGAGUCAGCAUAGUCUGAAGAUCAUUUGAUUCGAAUUUGGUGAAAAUCGGACCUACGGUUGAUGAGGAGUUCGACAAAGUAGGUUUUCAACAUAAAUCAAAAUGGCGGACCGGAAGUUCAGCUUACUAUGGUAUAUUUGGUAUCUAUGUUAUCGGCAUAAACCAGGGAAUAUUUUGAGCCCAGUUCCAUUCGAAUGGGCUAAUGCAAUAAAAAGUUAUUAGCAUUUUUACAAGUGUAAUUAUUCAUGGUUAAUGAAUGGUUUAUUACUCUUGACCAAUAGGUGGCGCUGUUACCAAAUUUAUGUGGCAUGGUCAGUGUGAGGUGGCGAUGACACAUACAAAGUUUGGUGCAAAUAUGUCAAAGUGUUGCAGAGAUACAGCCUCAAAUGCAUUUUGGCACCCUUCCAGCAAAUUUGUUGAUGCGCUAAAUGAGAACCGUUACGUAUAUCGACACAAAAUCCAUAACUUUUUGCCAGCAUGGUCUGAAGAUGAUGCACGUCAAAUUUGGUGAAAAUUGGGCUAACGGUCUAGGAGGAGUUCGAAAAAGUAGGUUUUCAACAUUAAGCAAAAUGGCGGACAGGAAGUAAGGCCAAUUUUCACAUUAUUGGUAUCAAUACUCUCGGCAUGACCCACAGAAUAUAGCGAGACCAUUUUAAUUUUAAUAGACUAAUUUAUUCAAAAGUUAUUAGCAUUUAUGUGAUAUUUCAUUAUAACUAUUGGCCACAAGGUGGCGCUGCCACCAAACUUUUUGAGUACCUUCAGGGCAUGGAGCCGAAUAUUUUUGUAAUUAUUUGCGAAACGAUACGAUGCUGCGUUCAAAAAAUACAGCAUUUUAAAUCAUAAUUCAAAAUGGCCGACGCCUAAAAUGGCCGACACAGGAAAAUUGGAUAUCAUUUGACUCGACAUGACUCACUGAAUCUAAAGAGACCAGUUGUGUGAUUUUUGGCCAAACCAUUCAGUAGUUAUAAGCCAAAAUAUGCAUUUUUCAUAUCUCCUGACCACUAGGUGGCGCUGUGUCGAAACACUGCAGGUAGUCUCAGUUCAUGCUUGUUAAAACACACACCAAGUUUGGUCUCAAUAUGACAAACUGUUGCCGAGAUAUAGCCUCACGUGCAUUUUUGCGUGCAUUUCGUCAAAUUAGUUUACGUGUCAUUCGACAACGGUUGGACGAAUCAACUUGAAUUCCAUAACUUUUUGCCGGCCUGGUCUGAAGAUGAUCUGAGACAAUUUUCGUGGCAAUCAGACUAACCGUCUAAGACGAGUUUGAAAAAGUAGGUUUGUCGAAUAAUUGAAAAUAGCGAAAAAACUAAACCUUGCGAUUUUUGAAUUUUGGGGUUCAUUCGACUUGGCAUGAGCCAAGGAUUCAGAAGAAAAAAGAAUUUUCAUUUUCUGGCUUACGGUUCAAAAGUUAUUAGCAUAGAAACAUUGAAAGUUUGGACAAGUGGUGGCGCUAGAGAGUUGGAGUUAGAGACUUCAAAUUUGCUAUAGUUAAUGCUGGGACUGUCCUCUAUCAGUGUGCCAAAUUAUACAACUUUCCCGCAAUCGGUUCUAUGGGCUGCCAUAGACUUGCGGCGGAAGAAGAAGAAGAAGAAGAAGCAGAAUAAUAAUAAUAACGCCAACGGAAACAAUAGGUGCCUACGCACCUUCGGUGCUUGGCCCCUAAUAAAUAUAGCUGCAAGCAGCAAUUACGGGGCCAAGCACUCCAACGGCAAAUGUAGGAGCUAAGCAUGGCAUGAAGCAUCACACCAAAUACAUUAAUGAGCAAUAACAGUAAUUUUGGAAUUAUUGUAAUUGAAAUGGCAAAAAAAAAAUCAUAAUACCACCUCUAGUAGCAUGAUUACUUGGCUUAUAAAGUUUGACCAAUAGGUGGCACUGUUAUGAAAUCAAUUUGGUGUACUCUGUUUGACUUUUCAAUGACACACACAAAGUUUGGUGUUAAUAUGCCACAGCAUUCCAGAGAUGCAGCCUCAAGUGUCAUUUUGUCAUUGUGUUUCAACUUCGUCGCUUUGGUAUGCGAAAACGGUUUUGUCUAUCGACACAAAAUCCAUAACUUUGUGUCAACAUAGUCUGAAGAUCAUCUGAUUCGAAUUUGGUGAAAAUUGGACAUACGGUUCAUGAGGAGUUCGAAAAAGUAGGUUUUCCACAUAAAUCAAAAUGGUGGACCGGAACUUCAGUAAACACUGGCAUAUUUGGUAUCUAUGUUAUCGGCAUAAGCCAGGGAAUAUUUUGAGCCCAGUUUCUUUGCAAUAGGCUAAUGGACUAAAAAGUUAUUAGCAUUUUAAAAAGUGUAAUUACUCAUGGUUAAUGAAUGGUUUAUUACUCUUGACCAAUAGGUGGCGCUGUUACCAAAUUUAUGUGGCAUGGUCAGUGUGAGGUGGCGAUGACACAUACAAAGUUUGGUGCAAAUAUGUCAAAGUGUUGCAGAGAUACAGCCUCAAAUGCAUUUUGGCACCCUUCCAGCAAAUUCGUUGAUGCGCU